rnacentral:rRNA from 1 species
UACGUAGGGCGCAAGCGUUGUCCGGAAUUAUUGGGCGUAAAGAGCUCGUAGGCGGCUUGUCACGUCGGGUGUGAAAGCCCGGGGCUUAACCCCGGUCUGCAUUCGAUACGGGCUAGCUAGAGUGUGGUAGGGGAGAUCGGAAUUCCUGGUGUAGCGGUGAAAUGCGCAGAUAUCAGGAGGAACACCGGUGGCGAAGGCGGAUCUCUGGGCCAUUACUGACGCUGAGGAGCGAAAGCGUGGGGAGCGAACAGG